AUACGUAGGGUGCAAGCGUUAAUCGGAAUUACUGGGCGUAAAGCGUGCGCAGGCGGUUUUGUAAGACAGUGGUGAAAUCCCCGGGCUCAACCUGGGAACUGCCAUUGAGGCUGCCAGGCUGGAGUGCGGCAGAGGGGGGUGGAAUUCCGCGUGUAGCAGUGAAAUGCGUAGAUAUGCGGAGGAACACCGAUGGCGAAGGCAAUCCCCUGGGCCUGCACUGACGCUCAUGCACGAAAGCGUGGGGAGCAAACAGGAUUAGAUACCCUGGUAGUCCACGCCCUAAACGAUGUCAACUGGUUGUUGGGGAUUUAUUUUCUCAGUAACGAAGCUAACGCGUGAAGUUGACCGCCUGGGGAGUACGGCCGCAAGGUUAAAACUCAAAUGAAUUGACGGGG
rnacentral:rRNA from 1 species